UUGGAGUGACUGGAGAGAUUCUUCCAUUGGGAGAAUAAACAAAAACCUUAAAGAUAACGCUGAGCUUUUACAUACCACUGAAUUCACCCUGACGCCAAUGGACCUUAAGGCAUUUGUCAUAAGAGAUAAGAAACGAAAUCAUCUGAUAUUUAAAACACCAGAUCAUAUCGAUGAGGAGUCGGAAUCCUUUUUUCAUAAUUUCACUGAAGGAGGAUGGUGGGUUGGGAAUCGAACCACUUCAUAUCUGAACGGUGUCUACGGGUCUCCACGAUGGAGGAACAUCUGGCUUCCUCACAUAACUUCAGGAGAAGAUUUUCUUUCCUCCCAGAUGAUGGUUCGUCGUAACAUACGUCAAUAGAUGUUGCGACUCUU